CACACACACACACACACACACACACACACACACACACACACACACACACAUUCACACACACCCCUUUCCACCAAUGGCUAAGACUUAAAAUUGAAUGAGCAUGACACGAGAUGUUUCUAAAGAGUUUUCUGCCUGCCAUCAGCUUCAUUAAGGGCACCAAUGUGCAGGCACAUUUAAUGGUGUUUAUUUUGAAACAUGCGAUGUUUACCCUUGAAAACCUAUUAUGCAUCUCUCACCUCACUGUGAACAAAAGGGCAUUGUAACUUCACAGCGUCUGUAGUCUGAUUGCUUGCUUAAAUUUAGGUCUGCCCUCAAAUGAGUAAAAUACUUGAGUAUCAGUCAUCCUGGAAUCCAAGGGCCUUAUUCAUAGUGCAUGUGGGGCUCUAUUCAUGGGUGAUUUAUGUCUUUGCAUAAAGGGGGAGGGGGAGGUAUGUGUGCUGCCCAGAGAACAAUCGUCUGCCUCUCCUGAGUAAUUUAUACAAGAUCAAUAUUUAUCAAGGUGAGCCAAGAAUUGUACCAUAACUCUCCAAGAGCCAAAUACUUCAUGUUCAGGUCUUUCACCUAUGGAAUGGAGCGUGACAGAUUGAAAUGUGUGUGUGAACCGACUUAAAGGAAGCUGCUUACACACUUCUUGGUACCUUGGAUACAGUGUGAGGCUUCGGGAGAGAGCAUGGAUUUGUGCCCUGGGUGGUGUCCUAUGACUCUCCCAGAAUAAGUAAUAAACAACAAGUAAUAAGUAAUUUCUUGAAUUAGAGGCAGAAAGAUAAUAGGUGACAGUAUUCUCAUGAGAAAGGGAAACUGUCCCACUUUGUUAUUUUGUUAGUAUGUAGGUAAGUGAGCACCUGUUAGGCAAUUUACACCCACUUAGGAAACAGUUAUUACCUGGUUUUAUCUCUGGGGCAGAUAUCUAUGUAAAUAUUUAGGAACAUAUGACUGGAAAGUACUAUGCUAUAGAGACCAAAAGUAUAGGUCUAGAAUCGAUCUAGAUGGAAUUCUAUCACAAGAUGUCUGGAAAACAGUGAAAUGGGAGUUAAAAGGGCAGAUAGUUAACAAGGAUUAGGGUUCUGGAAAGAAGAAGUAAUAACACAAACACUGGGAAUCUGAAAGCCCUUUGAGUUGUGGGUGUGGGGCAGAACAGGUUGUGUGAGAGCAAACAGUAUGCUGUCACCCGUGAUAAAGAAGGGUAAAGAAUUCCACCAGAAGUGGAUUUACUGUAAAAGGCACAAGUCUCCACUAGAAACCCUUCCCUUAGAAGUAAGAGAUGAACCAUACUCAUGGGUUCUUAAACAUGUGCCAGAAGUGGUCAGUUUUCCUUGGGGAAGUAUCUCCGGUGACGAAACCCACGCUAUUUGGUAGAGAGCACUCACAGGCAGAUGGCAAGUGGGUUUAACUUAUAUCCAGUUUUGAGAAUGAUUUCAAAACUGUGUUUGUCUUCAC
rnacentral:lncRNA from 1 species